rnacentral:rRNA from 1 species
UAUUAUUUUAAAAUAAUUUAUAUACCUAAGUUAGUAGUAGAUAUUUUCUUAAAAUUUAAAAAAUUUGGCGGUAACUUAAUCUUUUCAGAGGAACUUGUUUUUUGAUCGAUAAUCCUCGAAUGAUCUUACUUAUUAUAUAAUAAAUUAAAGUUUGUAUACCAUCAUUAUCAGAUAAUUUUUAAAUAAUAAAUUAUUAAAAUUAAAUAAUUAAUAAAAUUAGAUCAUGGUGCAGCUAAUGAAUAAGUUAAAAUAAGUUACAAUAAAUUAUUUUAUUACGGUUAAUUAAAAGAAUUUUUUAUUUAGAAGGAGGAUUUGAUUGUAUUUUGAGUUUAAUAUGCUUAAUAGAUAAUGGCUCUAAGUUAUGUACAUAU